rnacentral:tRNA from 1 species
AGAAACUUAGGUUACACUAAACCAGGAGCCUUCAAAGCUCCAAACAAGGAUUAAUACCCUUAGUCUCUG